rnacentral:rRNA from 1 species
UACAGAGGUCUCAAGCGUUGUUCGGAAUUACUGGGCGUAAAGGGUGCGCAGGCCGCGCGGGCAGUCAAAUGUGUAAUCCAGGGGCUCAACCCCUGAACUGCGCUUGAUACUUCCGCGCUCGAGCUUUGGAGAGGAGUCUGGAAUUCUCGGUGUAGCAGUGAAAUGCGUGGAUAUCGAGAAGAACACUUAGAGCGUAGGCAAGACUCUGGACAAAUGCUGACGCUCAUGCACGAAGGCUAGGGUAGCGAACGGG